rnacentral:rRNA from 1 species
UACGUAGGUGACCAGCGUUGUCCGGAUUUACUGGGCGUAAAGAGCGCGCAGGCGGUCGUUCAAGUCGAGUGUGAAAGCCCCCGGCUCAACUGGGGAGGGUCAUUCGAUACUGAUCGACUGGAAGGCAGGAGAGGUAAGCGGAAUUCCUGGUGUAGCGGUGAAAUGCGUAGAUAUCAGGAGGAACACCUGUGGUGUAGACAGCUUACUGGACCACUUCUGACGCUGAGACACGAAAGCGUGGGUAGCAAACAGG